UAUUACUACAACAUCUACUACAACAUAAGGGCAUUUUAGUCAUUUUGUCACUUCUUACUUUUCAAUUCCAUGUACUCAUAUUUCUACAUACCAAACACUGUAAUUUCAAUUCCUACUUUAUUCAUUGAAUUGCAAUUCCACCGAAUUACAAUUCUUUUCCACCCUAAUUCCCUCCUCCCAACCAAACGCCCUGUAAGGAUUCUUCAAGAGUUGCCAUUUCAGUUGCUGCAAUGUGGGAUGACCCUUGGCUAAACUUCUCAAAUGGGCCAAAGGGAGGGGUGAGGGCAUGAAUGAUGGAGCAAAGUCAGCAAACAUUCAUUAUUUAUAUGGUCCAGACAUUGCUGCAAAAGUCCGGCCGGAAAUAAAUUGUAUUAGGACAUCGGUGAGUAUGAUGAUUUUGUGCUGAUUAUAUGAUAAAGGUAUUGACUUCACUUGAUUUAUAAUUAUUAGAGUAUAAAUAAAUAGUUGUUGUUGUUGUUGCUGUCAUUAAGUGUUAAUGAUUUUUGAUUAUGAGAGUAGUUGAGACUUGAGAGAAUCCUGUAGGCAUCUUAAACUGCCAAUAUAGAUUUGGUGUCAAUAUUUCGUUAUAAUAAAUUGAUUGAUAGGGACCACUAGACCACUAGUCUAGUAGGUGUAACACUAAAUUAAGCCAUUAAACCUCACCGGAUAAGAGCCCUUGGAUUGAGGGAUGUAUUGAAUUAUGGUUGUUCAAGAAUCACCUAAAGUGGUGUGUUUGUAAUGAAUACUUAUAAAGGAGUGUCAAGAA